rnacentral:rRNA from 1 species
AACGAACGCUGGCGGCAUGCCUAACACAUGCCAGUCGAACGAGACCUUCGGGUCUAGUGGCGCACGGGUGCGUAACGCGUGGGAACCUGCCCUUAGGUUCGGAAUAACUCCCCGAAAGGGGUGCUAAUACCGGAUAAUGUCUUCGGACCAAAGAUUUAUCGCCUUUGGAUGGGCCCGCGUUGGAUUAGCUAGUUGGUAGGGUAAAAGCCUACCAAGGCGACGAUCCAUAGCUGGUCUGAGAGGAUGAUCAGCCACACUGGGACUGAGACACGGCCCAAACUCCUACGGGAGGCAGCAGUGGGGAAUAUUGGACAAUGGGCGAAAGCCUGAUCCAGCAAUGCCGCGUGAGUGAUGAAGGCCUUAGGGUUGUAAAGCUCUUUUACCCGGGAUGAUAAUGACAGUACCGGGAGAAUAAGCUCCGGCUAACUCCGUG